rnacentral:misc_RNA from 1 species
CUGGAUCGUCCCUAUUAAGCAAGCGCUGCGUGUUCGAUUGGCCUAUUUUCUCUUUUUUAAAUUAAAUCAUCAGAUCUGAAACUUCUCUCAUUGUGGUCCUCGUCUCUGAUUUAAACCAAAGCGGCUCAUCACUGAUGCUACAAUUUCCAGCUCCAAAACCCUAAUUCACUUCGAUAAUCAAAUUCAAUCCAAUGGAGCAACUCAAGA